AGGGAAAAGUGUGAAAAUUCAAGGAAACAAGUAAAAAAAGGUGGUGAAUCCUCCGAUAAAGGCAAAGAAAUUGUACCUGAGGAUCGAUAGUCGGAGUACUCUAAAAAUUUGACUCCCGAAAUAUAAAAUCUAUCUCCCCAAGUAUAAAAGGACGCUCCAAUGGUCAAAGAAGGAAGAUUGAAGCACAAAAGACCAUUUGGAUCAAAAAGCCAAAGAACCUUCAUCAAAUAUACGUGUUCUUCACUCUUAUUUUUGAAAGUGUUUAAGCCAGAUUGUAGUCUCUCUAGAUUUGAAAAGGUGAUUG
rnacentral:sRNA from 10 species